rnacentral:rRNA from 1 species
UCUGAUUAGCUAGUUGGUGGGGUAAAGGCUUACCAAGGCGACGAUCAGUAGCUGGUCUGAGAGGACGAUCAGCCACACUGGGACUGAGACACGGCCCAGACUCCUACGGGAGGCAGCAGUGGGGAAUUUUCCGCAAUGGGCGAAAGCCUGACGGAGCAAUACCGCGUGAGGGAGGAAGGCUCUUGGGUUGUAAACCUCUUUUCUCAGGGAAGAAGCUCUGACGGUACCUGAGGAAUCAGCAUCGGCUAACUCCGUGCCAGCAGCCGCGGUAAUACGGAGGAUGCAAGCGUUAUCCGGAAUGAUUGGGCGUAAAGCGUCUGCAGGUGGCUUUACAAGUCUGCUGUCAAAGACUGAGGCUUAACUUCGGAGAGGCAGUGGAAACUGUAAAGCUAGAGUGCGGUAGGGGUAGAGGGAAUUCCCGGUGUAGCGGUGAAAUGCGUAGAGAUCGGGAAGAACACCAGUGGCGAAAGCGCUCUGCUGGACCGCAACUGACACUCAUGGACGAAAGCUAGGGGAGCGAAUGGGAUUAGAUACCCCAGUAGUCCUAGCCGU